rnacentral:misc_RNA from 1 species
GUAAGUGCAAAGUAAAAUGUUGUUGCUACUUGUUUGUGUUGGAUAUGUUUCAAAACGAAUUCAGUUCUCUUAUUUGUUGAUUUAUAAAUAAUGUGGACUACCUUUGACCUUUCUUGCUUCCAAUUCUCAAACAAAUGUUGAGAAGGGUGUAGAGCUGUUAAAUUGAAAACCUGUGUUAUUACUGUUGGUCUUAGUGUUUCUUUCCUUAGGAUUAUGGAUUGAAACAUCUAGAGUAAAACAUCUUGGGUGGGUUAUACAUAAGCAAUUCAUUAAAGUGAAAGGGCAUUGGCCAAUUAUUUUGAAGUAUGCAAAAGAUCCUUGUCAGGAAAACAAAAGAAAGAAAAAAAACAAAAUCUUAGGCUCCAUUUGUUUAGUGGGAAAUUUUUUUCAAGAAAGUAUUUUCCGUGUUUUCCAAUGUUUGGUGUGCAAAAGUAAGGGCCUGUUCACUUGUCGAAAACUGAAGUAGUUUUCUGAAAAACCUAGAAGAUAGAAUUUUGUGUUCACUUGUAAUAAUUUUCUAAAUGGAAAACUAGAAAACCAGUUUACCAAAUUUUA